CUUUUAUUUGCUUGGUUUGUAAUAAUAUUUGAUGUUGCUUGGAUAUUGGCUGGAUAUUUUAAUUGUGUACUCUAAAUUUGAAUCUUCUCUUGUUUAAAUGUGGAACAGUUUUUACUUUUAGAAUUUGUUUCAAUAUCUUGGCAUGUUCUUUCUAGUCACUUGAGUAUCAAUUACUUGAUUUUCUCCGUGUGUGAUAUGUGAAACUUGCAGUGCAAUAGCUUGUUGCACUCAUGUGAUCAAGAGGCAAAGGAAGGGAACGCACACUUUUUGACCGGUUCUUUGGUUCGACCCAACCGAGAGGUAUUGAGCCAAACACUCCUUU
rnacentral:lncRNA from 1 species